rnacentral:rRNA from 1 species
UACGUAGGGGGCAAGCGUUGUCCGGAAUCAUUGGGCGUAAAGCGCGUGUAGGCGGCUGAGUAAGUCUGCUCUGAAAGCCCGGGGCUCAACCCCGGGAGGCGGGUGGAUACUGCUCAGCUCGAGUCCGGAAGAGGAGUGUGGAAUUCCUGGUGUAGCGGUGAAAUGCGCAGAUAUCAGGAGGAACACCAAUGGCGAAGGCAGCUCACUGGGACGGUAUUGACGCUGAGGUGCGAAAGCGUGGGGAGCAAACAGG